GAUGAACGCUAGCUACAGGCUUAACACAUGCAAGUCGAGGGGAAACGACAUCGAAAGCUUGCUUUUGAUGGGCGUCGACCGGCGCACGGGUGAGUAACGCGUAUCCAACCUGCCCAUCACUUGGGAAUAACCUUGCGAAAGUAAGACUAAUACCCAAUGAUAUCCCACGAAGGCAUCGGAAUGGGAUUAAAGAUUUAUCGGUGAUGGAUGGGGAUGCGUCUGAUUAGCUUGUUGGCGGGGUAACGGCCCACCAAGGCAACGAUCAGUAGGGGUUCUGAGAGGAAGGUCCCCCACAUUGGAACUGAGACACGGUCCAAACUCCUACGGGAGGCAGCAGUGAGGAAUAUUGGUCAAUGGGCGAGAGCCUGAACCAGCCAAGUAGCGUGCAGGAAGACGGCCCUAUGGGUUGUAAACUGCGUUUAUAAGGGAAUAAAGUGGGUCACGUGUGACUUUUUGCAUGUACCUUAUGAAUAAGGACCGGCUAGUUCCGUG
rnacentral:rRNA from 1 species